AUGCGAAACACAACAAAAACAGCAAAAGACGAAGAAUAAUUGUUGUCGUGUGCAGCCCUUACUAGUAUAUCGCAUCGGUGGAUGAACGUGAUUUAAAAGGCAUCAACGAAACAUUCGGUUCAAUGGUCAUGUUUAGCAAAACCUUGCCUAUUUAAACAGCAUGAGCAGAGGACCAUUUCCUGUAUUGGUGGAGGAGAAAACUGAUGCUCCCUCCUAUUGGGAUACAGAUGCAGAGAACUCCAUAUUCAAAAGCUGGAGCUACAGCUGCGGCAAAUUAAAAUGGAAAUUUUGAUGGCAGUGGCCUACUUGAGUUUCACAAAACUUCCACUGAGAUUGAGACCAGCAUGCAAGACCAAAGUCAAAAAACACAACAAGAUUCACAAUAUGGACUCGAAAGGAGCUGACAGGGUAGACUGAUAUAUUAAAACACAGAUGAUAACACAGAAAGAAGUUUCAACAGCGGUAGUCUUCGAUAUGUUAAAGAUACUGCUGUGGGUGUACAUGGACUUCUGAAGCAUCAGUCUGAUUUACCAGCAGAGCUGUGAAUGCAACAUCUCUAGCCAGAAAUAAUUUUCCUGAGCAGCAUGAUACCAACACACAAUAGCGGGGACAAGCGCAUUUUCAAAAAGCAAUCUUUAGUUAGAAUAACCUUAGGUUUUGAAAGGUUUAGAAUAAUUGUGGUUGGAUGGCCAUAGGUGGCAGUGACAGUCAGGGAUGGUCAGCAUACACUUAAGUGAAAGAUAAAGUCUUUCAUGCGUACUGAAAACUAACCAUGGAUACUGGAGGCUGAUAGAACCAAGCAUGGACACUGGUAAAACCAACCCUGGAUGUUGAUAGAAACAACCAUGGAUGCUGAUAGAACCUACUGUAUAAGCCGAUAUAACCAACAUUGGACAAUAUCAUAACUUACCAUGGGCAGAGAAAGAAUUGAAGAAUUGACCAAAGGCAGUAAAUAAUGCAGGAACGAGUUCAAGCAUAUUCCUCAGGAUCCCCUACAUCUCUAAAUAUCGCAAACAGCCACAUCAUAUUCCUGAGGACCUUUACAUCUCUACAAGGAGGGACACACAAACAGACACAUCAUAUUCCUGAGGACCUUUACAUAUCUACUAGGAGGGACACAUAAACAGACACAUCAUAUUCCUGAGGACCUUUACAUCUCAACAUAAAAGGUCACACAAACAGCCACAUCAUAUUCCUGAGGACCUUUACUUCUCAACAAUGAGGGACACACAAACAGCCACAUCAUAUUCCUGAGGACCUUUACAUCUCAAUAUAGAGGGACACACAAACAGACGCAUCAUAUUCCCGAGGACCUUAACAUCUCUACACGGAGGAACACACAAACAGCCACAUCAUAUUCCUGAGGGCCUUUGCUUCUCAACCUAAAGGGUAACACAAACAGCCACAUCAUAUUCCUGAGGACCUUUACAUCUCUACAAGGAAUGAUACACAAACAGCCACAUCAUAUUCCUGAGGACCUUUACAUCUCAAAAUAGAGGGACACAGAAACAGCCACAUCAUAUUCCUGAGGAUCUUUACAUCUCUACAAGGAGGGACACACAAACAGCCACAUCAUAUUCCUGAGGACCUUUACAUCUCUACAAGGAGGGACACACAAACGUCCACAUCAUACUCCUGAAAACCUUUACAUCUCAACAUAGAGGGACACAUAAACAGCCACAUCAUAUUCCUGAGGACCUUUACAUCUCAACAUAGAGGGGCACACAAACAGCCACAUCAUAUUCCUGAGGACCUUUACAUUUCAACAUAGAGGGACACACAAACAGCCACAUCAUACUCCUGAAAACCUUUACAACUCAAUAUUUAGUGACACACAAACAGCCACAUCAUAUUCCUGAGGACCUUUCAGCAAAUUGAGUUAUUGUCCUGUGUUACGUUUCUUGAUCAGAACCAUUUUUGAAAACUACAGUAUGUAAUUCAACUACACACGAUAGUUAAGCACAAUGAGAAUAAGUAGAGUGUACAAGAAACUGUUGAAGCUACUAACAGAUCGUUUGCCCUUUGUAACCAGCUGGCUCCGAUUUCGCGAAACUACUUAAGCUUUACAGGCUUAAGUAGCUUAUUUCAAAAUGUCAAAAUAUAUACUUAACUAGAUUUUGAUAAAUCAUAAAAACCUCUUCUGAUAAUCAUGAUGAUAAUUCCUUUCUCAAGUAUAAAAUCUCUUAAAGAAGUAAACAUUAUUAUUGAAAUCCAAAAAUAGUGAGCUUAGCUUAAUCCUGUUUAUAGGGACUUCAGAAGAUUCGAGAUUUCGGGGCCAGAGCAUUUCUUCAACAUUUCUAGAUCAAAUUCAGUGGAGCUUCAUUCAAUGAUAGAAUUGAAUGAGAGUAAGUACAUUAUACAAGAAGGGUAACCCUAACCCAUACAAGAACUACUAGUCAAGUUAAGCUUUUCGAAGUUAUUGCCAUGUAUGACAUUUUUCCUUGUCCAUAACUUAAAAAUACUUGUUAGAACUUAAUUAAACUACAUACAAUUGUAAAGUACAGUGAUAAUAAGUAAAGUUGACAUAACACUAUUAUACCUUAUAAAGAUGGCAUUAUUACCCUGUCCGGAACAUAACUACAUGAUGAAACAUUUUUUAAAGCACAAUGAGCGGAAAUGCAUUGUAUAAAAAGCAUAACUCUAUUUCAGCUCAGUGCAGAGCUACUGCCCUUUGUCACUUUUUUGUUCGGAAAACUUAAAUACUACUCGAUGGAAUUUAAUUAACAACUCUGUUUUAGGGAAUAUUAGAAUAAUAAGUAAUGCUACACUUGUUUCCCUAGCGCCGGUCGGUGUCUCAGUUUGUUGAAGGAUUUGCAUAAUAGCAACAAUACAUUCAAGAUCUAAGCAAGUAUAUCAUGUAUUGAUUGAAAGAAAUUAUACGUGUUCCCAACAUAACUUAAUAAUUAUUAAUGAUUAUGUUUGAUUAUACCUAUAGGAAAACAAAGCAAAUUAUGGACCUUUUUCUUUUGACUUGGACAUUCUGAUUAAGGUUUUGCAUGUAAGCACACAUAUCAGCCACUAGUUGAUGCAUUGAUUGUAUUUCGACUUUAUACAAUGAUACUCAACCGUUCAUCCCAAUCAAAUAACCAAGUUUAUUUGUGACAUUUGUACUCAACUAUACAACCUUUGAUUAGGCCAAUUUUAUAGUUCUUUUGGGUUGCUUAUGGCUUUUACCUCAAAACAAAUUGUUUUGCAUGUAAGAAAACAUAGCAUACUUGAUAAAUUGCAUUGAAACUUUAUACAAAGGUACCACACUGUCUUUCAAGUAGUGUUUGUUCCUUUUUUAUUCAAUUUCUUUCGUCUGGUUUAGGUUUUGCAUUUCAAUCUAACAUCUAAUCCAUGUAUUGUUUUGAAACCUUAUACAGUUUGCUCACUCUGGAUUGUAUAUAAUGCAAAUCUGGCAAAGUUCUUUGAGCUUAAGCUUUUGCGAUAGAGGGAUUGU